rnacentral:tRNA from 1 species
GGGGGCAUAGCUCAGUGCUAGAGCACAUGCUUAGCAUGCAUGAGGUCAUGGAUUCAAUCCUCAGUACCUCCA